rnacentral:rRNA from 1 species
CAGUCGCCGCGGGAAUACGUAGGUGGCAAGCGUUGUCCGGAUUUAUUGGGCGUAAAGCGAGCGCAGGCGGUUAGAAAAGUCUGAAGUGAAAGGCAGUGGCUCAACCAUUGUAGGCUUUGGAAACUGUUUAACUUGAGUGCAGAAGGGGAGAGUGGAAUUCCAUGUGUAGCGGUGAAAUGCGUAGAUAUAUGGAGGAACACCGGUGGCGAAAGCGGCUCUCUGGUCUGUAACUGACGCAGAGGCUCGAAAGCGUGGGGAGCGAACAGGAUUAGAUAUCCCGGUAGUCCCUGUCUCUUAUACA